rnacentral:rRNA from 1 species
AUGGAGAUCGAAGACGCUCGAUCGCUGGGGUUGUUCAAUCUUCAAUCCGGCGGGCAGCGCACGGGCUCAGAUCCUCUGGUGCUGGUGCUGGUGCUGAUGGUGGUGGUGCUGGUGAUGGAGCGCUCCGGCGUGCCGGCGCAGCGGCUGCUGGGCGGACAUGGGCCUGAAGUCCUCGGCGACGAUGGCUAUCAGCCCGCCGAGCGGCCGCCGCAUCAUGGCGCGGUAGGUUAUCUCGUCGUAGGGCCGGCGGUAGAAGCGCAGGAAGGGCAGGAAGGACUCGCGCUCGCGCUCCACCCGGCUGGCCUGCCCGUCCUUGCGGAACGUGAACGGCGACUGCAGGAACGACGGCCUCGGCGUCCGCGGGAACUGCUGCUGCUGCGGCAGAGGGGAGGGGGUCUUCUGCCCUCCCUUGGCGGCGGACGGCGUCGGCGGCGCGCGGGCGGUGCGCUGCUGCUGGACGGGUGUCGGCGUGGAGCGCGCGGCGGGCGAGGCGAAGGAGAAGGAGCGCGCGGAGAGCGGGGACGCGCCGACGAGGGACGGGCUGGAGGAGGCCGGCACGACGGAGCGCGGGCCCGGCGCCGGCGUGGUGGAGAGGUACCACGGCUUGAGCGCGUUGUCCGACACGCUGAAGGCGAAGCGCGACGAGGCGGAGCCCACGGCGGUUCCUCCCUUCCCCGUCGUCAGCACGGCCGCCACGGACGGCUCGAAGCGCAGCGACGCCGUCCGCGGGUAGGCCGUGAAGGACGCGUCCUCCAGCGAGUCCUCGAAGUCCAGCGAGCUCACCACCGCCGUCGCCGGCGCCAGGUCCACGAACGGCCGCACUCCCUGUCACAAAGCAAAACACGGUUCUUUCAUACGUACGUACAUGAUCCCACUCGCCACGCACAAGAGCAUGCAGCAUGA